UCAGCGAAGUACCAUGGUUGGGGAACGCUUAAAUGGUUUGGCCUUGAUGCAAAUUCAUCAGGAAAUUGUACCAGAUAUUGUGUUCCUAGGCAUGCUGAUGAGCCCUGAUAUGGGGCUAAACAGUCUUGUGUGCAUUCAAUAUUCUGAAUAGUGAAAAUCAACGACCUUGUGAUAUGUAAGUAUAAAUAUACAAUGUUUUUAUGUAUUUAUACGAUUGAGAUCUACAAGAUUCUGCAUAGCUGAAUGAUUAGACUGUUUGAUUUAAACAAUUUAUCGAAAGCAUAAAUAGUGUAGUAUGUUUUGCAAAGUAUGACGUCAUAGGUUUAGCACUGAAUGACGUCAUAAUGUUUUGCCUAUGGUAUCCAAAAUCCUAGAUACGCCCCUGGCGCUGACGUAUGCAUCUGUCGUCACCUAGCUGUUAACUUUGGCAAUUGCAUAUCCUCAUUAAAUAGGUUAUCAAGAGCCUUAGAUGACUAUGAUUUGUUUAUAGUUCUUCGAAGACCAAUGAUAGUUGUUUAGGCUUCAUAAUAAGUCAAUAUUGUUUAGGUCUAGUCGGUCACGCGAUUGACUUUCAAAAUUUCAAAAUUUAUUAUUAAUAUACAGCUUGAAAGUUGA